UUGUUUCACUUUACUUGUUCAAUUUAUGAAAUCAUGAGAAUCUUAGUAUAUUUUUCCCUUUCUAUUCUUUGGAUUAAAUAACUAGUUGAAAUCAAAUUUAGAAUUUCAAAAUGUCAUUAAUAAAGUAAGAUUAGUUUAGUAAAAUAUACAUCUAACUAAAAUUUUCAGGCAUGCAAAUUUAAAUUGUCCAUUUAUCAACUCAGCUCAUUUUAACCCGCC
rnacentral:lncRNA from 1 species